rnacentral:lncRNA from 1 species
UCUGACCAUUCAGAAUACCAAAAUAAAUACUCCUAUAGCUCGAUCAGAGCUCGGACUAGAGAGUAAGAGGUAUUUGUUAGGAGUAAUUUGGAAUGGACCGAUGAUGUAUGAAGAUUCAAGCCCAUUAUGAUCCAUCGGAUCUUUAUCAGUGCCUUUCAAGCAACCUAAUUAUUGUGGUUUGCCCGACCCCUGGUCGGCAAAUGUUUGUCCCGACCC